rnacentral:rRNA from 1 species
GUACACGCUGUGACUAGCAUAUCAAUAAGCGGAGGAAAAGAAACUAACAAGGAUUCCCCUAGUAACGGCGAGUGAAGCGGGAAGAGCUCAAAUUUGAAAUCUUAAAGGGUUUCCCUUUACGAAUUGUAGUUUAAAGAAGUGUUUUCUGUUGAGGUUUUGGUAAAAGUUCUUUGGAAUAGGACAUCAUAGAGGGUGAGAAUCCCGUAUUUGACCUUUACUUUCAACUUUGUGAUACACUUUCAAAGAGUCGGAUUGUUUGGGAAUGCAGUCCAAAAUGGGUGGUAAUUUCAUCUAAAGCUAAAUAUUGGCGAGAGACCGAUAGCGAACAAGUACCGUGAGGGAAAGAUGAAAAGAACUUUGAAAAGAGAGUUAAACAGUACGUGAAAUUGUCAAAAGGGAAGCGUUUGACACCAGUGUUGUUUUUCUGAAAAUCAAUUAAAGAACUGUUUAUGCUAAGUUGUUUAGACUUUAUCAGCUAUCUGUUUAGUUUUGAGCUUUUCUUUAAUGCACUUUUCAGUUAACAAGUCAACAUCAAUUUCUUUUGCUGUAAAAAAGCUUGAGGAAGGUGGCUUGAGAUUCGUCUUAAGUGUUUAUAGCCUCUUGCCUAUGCAGUCGGAGAGAUUGAGGUCUGCAGCGUAGAUCCUUCGGGGCUAAAUGCAUUUGUGCUAAGUUAUAGCAUUUUAUAGACAACUUGUUGACUAUGAUUUGUCUUGUAGCUUACUCGCUUAUGUUAUUUUACCUACGCUUAGGAUGUUGAUGAUGUAGCACAUCAU